CUACGUCAAAAAGCUUCUAAAAACCUCUGCAAGUUUUGAUAUAAGGUCUUUUUCCAAUUUCACAAAUAAUAUUUGUUUUCGACUUGAAUUUGUUCCGCUACACUCCUCUAACCAAAAAGAGAGAUUUAGUAAAGUAUUAAAACAAAACUAAUCAAGAAAACCUGGACCGGGUAAUAAACCUUGAUCAGGGUUCGACUUAUUUGGUAUGUUUUAGGGAGUAUUUCACCGUUUCAAAGGUACAGUUAUGAGACUGAAAUUUUUAAUUAAAUUUAACCUGAUUAAGCUAGUUAAGUUAAGUUCACCGGAAUUCGCCAUUAUAAAGUCCACUUUUGACGUAGGACUACGUCUGUGAUUUCUAUAUGGGGGUACACUUUGUGAAAACCGAAAAUGGAACAUGUAACACAAUUAUGAAAGAUUUUGAACGUUAAUAACUCAACUGCCCCUGGACCAAUUUUAAUAAUUUUAUCACCAAUCGAUCAGAUAUAUUCCUACGCACCUGGUAAAUUUAAAACCUUAUUAUUUUUUUUAAAUGCCACUAUUGAAAAUUGCACGGAUGUGCAAAUGUUGCUUUGAUAAUUAAAACUAUCACCGAUAGCCUGCGAAAAUCGAUUUCUUUGACACAGAUUUCAAAGUUGAAUUCCAUCCGGUCUCACCAAACGGUGUUUAUUCAAUCACCGCAUGGUGAGUGGUGGUGUUCUUCAGUACAUAGAAGGAGGAAGAAGCCGCACCGCUAUUGAUCGAAAUCAGAAGUUCUUCGUGAGUUGCUGUGGGCCAUCUAUAUCAAGCGCGUCAUACUGAAGAGUAUAAACCCGCUCAAAUUCCUAUUCCUACACAAAACAAAAGCUCCUGCUGCAGCUAACCCAAGCUAACCCCAGCUAACAGUCACCACUGCGUACAACCCAAUAGGGCUGUUCCUUGUAGUUUUUUUUUCUGAAAAUUACGCAACACAUUUUAAACAUAACUUUAAAAAAACCAAAAGAUUUCACUGAACUAACUUAUAAAUACAUGCAAACGGUGUAUCUUUCCUACCAUUCCAAUUAACAAAGUUCGGAACCACCCUAGUCAACUGCAUCUUUUGGUUCGGGUGAAAAAGGAUUCUCGAUGGUGUUGUUUGUUUGCGUAGAUGAGCUUCGGCUCACGAGAAAAGAGCAUUACAAGUUUUGGUUGUAAAAAUUGCUAGGCUGAAAAGGGCUGUUGGUCGAGAUCUCAUAAUUUAAUUUUAGAUAGGGGGAGUAGGGGCAUAGUUCCCCAUUGCCUUUUUAAUGCUUAAUCAGGUCCCCAAAAACUGGGCACAAUUUGAACGAAUUUGGUUAUAAUCUCGAUUUGCCUGAGAAUUUUAAAUUUGGUAUGGGAAACUGAAUAAGUUCAUUCAUUUGCAUACCAAAAAUCGAAAUAUUGCUCAAAUUUCAUCAAAAUUUGGACUUAGAUUGAGAAUAAUACACCAAACAACAAAGCUGCAACCCACCCUAAUGUACAUACUUAAAAAAUGGUCAUGAAAACAGUAAACCUUAACAAAACAUUGAGGUAUUUUAUUAGAAAAAUCCUCAUGGAAUCCCUCUAUGAAUUGUAUAUUUAAUAGUAGAGUAUAAGUUGCUCAACAAAAUUAUGUUGAGUUUAGCUGCUAAUACUUGAUAACCUGCAAGAUACACCCCCUUAAAGAUAGUGUUAUAAAUAUAUAAAAACGGAUGUAAAUCCUUAAAACGAAAAGAUAGCGAUUUGUUACCUUCAGCAAAAAUGUGCAUUUUUAAAGCUUUUACAACUUUGUAUUAUAGGGUUAACUACCCCAUUUCCAGCCUAUUAAGCACAACCCGCACUUAGUCUUUCUUAAUCUAGCGCAGUUUAGCUUCAAACGGAAUGACUUCCAAAUUUAUUUACCUUUCCGUAUGUACCGUAAGAUUUAAUAAAGAGAAACCAAUCGCUGAGAUAUUGUCAAAAGUCUAACACCAGGGCGUCACAAUAUCAGCUUCAAUCGACCAAAUCGAUGCGCUUGUCUCUCUUUCGCCCGUCGCUCCAUUGGUCUUCCUUUCAAGCUUCGGUGAAACGGAUGAGCGAAAGAGCGCUCGACUUUGAUAGUUUUCUCUUUCAUGAAACACAUUAAAUUACAUAUUUAAAGCAUUUCUCACGCGAAAACACUUGAAUAUUACACGUAAUAUGUUUAAUUUAUCUUCCAUCCACAUAUUUAUCUAAAAAAAAAAUUAACGAAAACGGGACAUAACGCAUUUUAAACAAAUUGAAAGAGCGGUGAUAGAGGGGUCGUGAAAGGGGAUUGAAAGCCAUAAUGAGGUUUCGUUUAACUAGUAAAUCGACGUUACUUACAUUGAAAGCGAUGAGCAAAGCAACGACGAGAAGAUCCACAGCCAGCGUUUCCUUCUAAGCGUGCUUCUUUUUCAUUAUCAUUUCUUGCUGAUAGUCUAGCAAGGCGUUAUAGAAAUGAAGCGUUGAACACGUUUGUUUAGGAGAAACAAAACUCGAGUUCAUUUUAGAGCUUCGAAAAUGUAGAACCCUGUCUAACACUGCUUCUUGACGUCAAACUCGGCCUACGGAUUCUAAACUCGGCCUAACGCAUUGAAACGCCAAUGAAUUCACUUCGGCCUAUCGGAUGAAGAGAAAAAUUGAUUCGGUCGGAGCGCUUUUUUUGUUUUUGGGAAUAAUGGGUGCAAACCUUCAUAUCACGCGUUCUCAUUGACUUCGUUCGGUAGCUUAUUAACUAAAGUAUCGUACCAAACGCAUAAUUGAUUGGUUAACUCUGAAAUUAUGAAUUUAUUUGAAGUUGUCUGCUCGAUAGGCCCAAAAUGGGCGAUUAGGCCGAAGUAGUUCUCUACCCUAUUAAAAAAUAAAAAACGAGGUACUACCGUUUUUACUCCAUUUUCACCUUAAAACUUCAUCAAACUUUCUGAAAUGAUGUCAACUACAAUGUUUCCAUAGAUGUUUAUCGAUUUUAACAAGAUAUAAAAAAGUUAUUUUUUAUCUUAGUGUAUUCCCCCCUUAAGCAAACAUUUUUACAACUCAAAUAAAGUACUCAAAAAUUAAAAAAAUAUUCUAGAAGACAUGCAAAUGCUACACUCAAUAGUUUCAACCCAAAUGGCCAUUAGACUGAUGCAAAAUUUGAAAUUUUCGCUCCACAGUGUUCAAACGGUUUCAAAUCGGGUUCUGAUUAGCCUCCGAAAGUUUAAACUCAUUUGAAAAGAAACUGACUUGGCACAAACCAUUUGAAGUUUAUAUGCAAAUUACUAUGGAAAAACCAAACUUUUUGUUCAUUGUCUUCUAGCCUUUCAUGAAGCGUUAAAUUAAAUAGUUAUUAAUUGUUUAAGAGUUUGAUAAUCUUAUGGCAAGAUUAAGCAACUGUAUUAUGGGCAACACUGUAUACUGCAGUGUGACAUAGUAGCCAUGAUUUUUGUCCUCUAUUCUACGCGCCAUAAACACCAAUGUUGCCUGCUGAACAGUUGAUUGAGCAUAAUCAUAAGACAUCAGUGACUUGAAUCAUUAAUAAUUUUUGUUCCUUACAUUUGAUCGAAAAGUAGUCUUCAACAAAGUUGUAGCUGAGAAAAUUUUCCACAAGCUCAGCUAUCAUUUUCUAAAGUAGAGUUAACUGGUGAAUUUUGAGAUGGAUGUGAACCGAAAUUAUGGUUCCCCUUAGUAAUUUCCAUAUAAACUUCAAAUGGUUUGUGCCAAGUCAGGUUCUUACUAAAAAAGUUCAAAUUUUGGGAGAAUAAUCAGGACCCAAUUUGGAACCAUUUGAGCACUGUGUAGCGAAAAUUUCAAAUUUUGCAUCAGUCUAAUAAUGGCCAUGUCCUACUUUUUUGAUGUGGUCCCACUGUGAGUCGUAGAGAAUUUACAACAAACAAUUGUACAUUGUAACAAAUGUGAAUCCCUGGUCGAGUUUCACCGUGGACUUAAUCGAAUUCGAUUCGGAACUUUUAUAAGGGACAUCAGUACAAUCAUUUUCAACUGGUUACAAAUCAACUAUUGAGAAUUGUAUGUGCUGAUAAGCAGUUAUUUCGCUUACUAAACUCCCGAAAGUAUCAACGAUAGUAUGCAUAUGCAUAGAAUUUCUGUUUUGUUUUCCGAAUUUGGUCAAUUAAAUUAGUCACUGUCACUGGCUUCUCUCAGGGGAGAACCCCUCCAAUUUCAAUUUUUGACGGCGGAAAAAAGAGAUCAUAUCGGUUGGGGCCAAAAGCAAGACAAUAACAAAACCAGUAAAAACGAAAAUCAUCAUCCACAUCGCACAAGGCAGCACAACAGCAUCAGCAGCAGCAGCAACAGCAACAGCAGCGUUAAAAAUAGAACAAACGACUGGAAGAAUCUAAUUUAGGUUGUCACCCUGUCUUAUAUUUAAAAAAUUUAAUUUACGUGUAUUCUGUUCUUGUCUGUUUCUGUAUUAUUUUUGUGUCAUUUUAAACGAUAAAGGAAAACAAACAAAAAGUAUGAAUCCGGGAAAAGCAGUGGCGCUCAGAUAUCAACUUUCGGCACUAAUUCAAUUAUGAGCGUGAGAUAAAGCACGCCAGUAGAUGUACCCGAAUCUAGAGCGAAAUCGUGACACGGACAAACGCGAACGACGAGCAGAAUCUAUACAUGUGUGUUGGGAUGGGUUCGCCCGACUGCCUUUUCUUUUGCCUAGAGCCGUUACGUUUAUUGUAGAGCGAAUUUGUUUUACUUAGUUCCUUUUUCCGAGAGUGCAAGAAUACAUUUUCCACUUUCUCUUCUUCUGUAUUUUGGCUACUGUACAUUUAAAUGGUAUCAUUGCACAAACGAAACAAAAUCAAAAAUAAAAAAAUAAAUCCUAAAUUUGAGAGAGUACGAGAGCAAGCGAAUGUACAGAAAACAAAAAAAAAAUGUAGUGAUAUUGCAAAACGCCUAACGUAGGAAAAUAGGGGAAAAUUGCCAAUAACUGGACAGCCGCACACAAGUCUUUGUUCCGAUGAAUAAAACAGCAUCAUAACGUAUUUUUGUUUGUUUUCUGUUUAUUAACGUUGAUAGUAUACAUAUCUAUUACUCUGGUUCAGCUUUUAUACUCGUGUAGCAGAAUGACCGUUCUACUCAUUUUUUUUCCUUUCACCUUCCAGUUCAUUAUUCAUUUGAUUAGUUUCCUUUUAAAAAACCAAUUCCAUUUACCAUUUUUAUCUCUUCAUCGUUUCAUUUUUAUUAAUAUGAGUAACAAAAAUCAAUAACCAGACAUCCCCGAGACUGCAGCAGCAAGCGCAAUACAGAGCAAGCGAGCGAGCAAUCACGUGACACAGUUUCCAAACGCGAAUCAAGCGAAAUUAAAACGCUCCCAUUUUCACCCCUCCCGUCCGGUCAAUAAAUAGUCAAUUCGGUGGCGGCAAAUAAAAAAAAAAAAAAAACAUCCAAAUCGAAAGGAAAAAAGGGACAAUUAGCGUUAUUAUGAUUGAACCGAUGCCAACCAAACGUGAUCGAACGAUUGUUUAAGAAAAUUAUGACAAACUUUCCAAUGCAAUGAUGAUAAUGAUAGCGCACUACUAAACGCACCCUCGUGUUUGAAUUUAGCAGCAAAUAGUAGAUUUCUUUGAAACUUAGCCAAUUGAUAGAGAAUGCUUGAGCGGGAUGGUCUCUCCAGGUCCCUGCCUGCGUUAGAUUAUGCACGCACGCUUUCCAAGGCCAGGAUCCUGAGGGCCAUCCCAGUGCUUAGACGAAAAAAAAAAACAUGUGGUACAUCUCACACCUAAAUUAACUCACACCGAUUUUCCUUUCCCCUUACUUUCUAAUUAGUCGUGUUUUCUUGUGUAUUGUGUCGUGUCUCUUUGCGUUCUGUUUCUGUUUCCCGAUUCCUGAUUUGUCUCAAGAAGCAUUAAAUGACUAAAACGUAAAUAUGAUUUGGGAGCUAUCAACGUGAUUAUUUCGUUUGUGUCUUGUGUCCAUAAACUGCUUUGAUUUGAUCUCUCGUGUUUCGUGUAUUCGUUUGUUUGUUGGAAUGCAAUUUGAGUGUUUUGUGGUACAAAAGACAAAGAAAACAAAACAAAAACAAAAAAGAACCCGAACAAAUGUAAAGGCGGCUGAGGAAUUGCCAAUUUUCCUGUAUUUUCCUACACCGAUUGCUUGCGAUAAU